rnacentral:rRNA from 1 species
AAGCCUGAUGCAGCCAUGCCGCGUGUGUGAAGAAGGCCUUCGGAUUGUAAAGCACUUUCAGCGGGGAGGAAGGCGGUGAGGUUAAUAACCUUGUCGAUUGACGUUACCCGCAGAAGAAGCACCGGCUAACUUCGUGCCAGCAGCCGCGGUAAUACGAAGGGUGCAAGCGUUAAUCGGAAUUACUGGGCGUAAAGCGCACGCAGGCGGUCUGUCAAGUCGGAUGUGAAAUCCCCGGGCUCAACCUGGGAACUGCAUUCAAAACUGGCAGGCUAGAGUCUUGUAGAGGGGGGUAGAAUUCCAGGUGUAGCGGUGAAAUGCGUAGAUAUCUGGAGGAAUACCAGUGGCGAAGGCGACCCCCUGGGCAAAGACUGACACUCAGGUGCGAAAGCGUGGGGAGCAAACAGGAUUAGAUACCCUGGUAGUCCACGCCGUAAACGAUGUCGAUUUGGAGGUUGUGCCCUUGAGACGUGGCUUCCGGAGCUAACGCAUUAAGUCGACCGCCUGGGGAGUACGGCCGCAAGGUUAAAACUCAAAUGAAUUGACGGGGGGCCCGCACAAGCGGUGGAGCAUGUGGUUUAAUUCGAUGCAACGCGAAGAACCUU